rnacentral:rRNA from 1 species
UACGUAGGGUGCGAGGGUUGCCCGGAUUUAUUGGGCGUAAAGGGCGCGUAGGCGGCCACGCACGUCCGUUGUGAAAUCGCCCGGCUCAACUGGGCGGGGUCGGCGGAUACGGCGUGGCUGGAGCAAGCUAGGGGGCAAUGGAAUUCCCGGUGUAGUGGUGGAAUGCGUAGAUAUCGGGAGGAACACCAGUGGCGAAGGCGGUUGCCUGGAGCUUUGCUGACGCUGAGGCGCGAAAGCGUGGGGAGCGAUCCGG